ACCACACCUUACCUACACCCUUGUCUUUACUUCUUCACUUUCUAACAUGUCAAUCUUUACCAAACAUUCUCCAUCUUCAUCUUCCACUGGCAAACACCCAAUCCACUGGCAAACUUCAACACUCCGGCCACGAUUCGGUCCAAAAACACCGAGACAUGGAAUUUACUAUAGAGGUGCAAAACGAUUCAGUCCAUGGAUAAUGAUCAGGGUGGUGUUGCGUUGCUUGAACAAUUUAUCCUUCAACUUUGGAGUGGUGUUCCCUGCAUCACCCCAACAAUCAUGUCCACCAUCACAAUCACCACAGAAUGCCAUGAUCCCAGUCUCUGGUCUGACAUCACCACCACCAUGACCAAAACAGAGCCUCACCUACCUUCACCAAGACUAGUGUAAUACUAGUUUGGUUAUUGUGAUUAAGGUUCAGAUUAUUAUGUUAUAUGUAAUUAAAGAAUGUUUGGUUUGAUAUUUGCUAUGUAUAAUUAUUAAAGUAAGUAGGACUAAACUUGAUAUGUAUAAUUAUGCUUUGGAAAUGUUUAAAUAUUAAUCUUUGGUUUGGUUA